AGAACCUUACCAGGUCUUGACAUCCAGUGCAAACYUAAGAGAUUAGGUGUUCCCUUCGGGGACRMUGAGACAGGUGGUGCAUGGCUGUCGUCAGCUCGUGUCGUGAGAUGUUGGGUUAAGUCCCGCAACGAGCGCAACCCUUGUCAUUAGUUGCCAUCAUUAAGUUGGGCACUCUAAUGAGACUGCCGGUGACAAACCGGAGGAAGGUGGGGAUGACGUCAAGUCAUCAUGCCCCUUAUGACCUGGGCUACACACGUGCUACAAUGGACGGUACAACGAGAAGCGAACCUGCGAAGGCAAGCGGAUCUCUUAAAGCCGUUCUCAGUUCGGACUGUAGGCUGCAACUCGCCUACACGAAGCUGGAAUCGCUAGUAAUCGCGGAUCAGCACGCCGCGGUGAAUACGUUCCCGGGUCUUGU
rnacentral:rRNA from 1 species